GUGGUCCCUUUGGCAGCAUAUAUAAUAAAAUUGUAACAAUAGAGAUUAGCAUGGCCCCUGCGCAAAGAUGACAUGUAAAUUCAUGAAGUGUUCCACAUUUUU
rnacentral:snRNA from 1 species